rnacentral:rRNA from 1 species
AUUGAACGCUGGCGGCAGGCCUAACACAUGCAAGUCGAACGAGUGGCGGACGGGUGAGUAAUGUCUGGGAAACUGCUUGAUGGCGGGGGAUAACUACUGGAAACGGUAGCUAAUACCGCAUACCAUCGGAUGUGCCCAGAUGGUAUUAGCUAGUAGGUGGGGUAACGGCUCACCUAGGCGACGAUCCCUAGCUGGUCUGAGAGGAUGACCGGCCACACUGGAACUGAGACACGGUCCAGACUCCUACGGGAGGCAGCAGUGGGGAAUAUUGCACAAUGGGCGCAAGCCUGAUGCAGCCAUGCCGCGUGUAUGAAGAAGGCCUUCGGGUUGUAAAGUACUUUCAGCGGGGAGGCGGUACCCGCAGAAGAAGCACCGGCUAACUCCGUGCCAGCAGCCGCGGUAAUUC